rnacentral:rRNA from 1 species
UAUUGGACAAUGGGCGCAAGCCUGAUCCAGCCAUGCCGCGUGUGUGAAGAAGGCCUUAUGGUUGUAAAACACUUUAAGCGAGGAGGAGGCUACUUUAGUUAAUACCUAGAGAUAGUGGACGUUACUCGCAGAAUAAGCACCGGCGAACUCGGUGCCAGCAGCCGCGGUAAUACAGAGGGUGCAAGCGUUAAUCGGAUUUACUGGGCGUAAAGCGCGCGUAGGCGGCUAAUUAAGUCAAAUGUGAAAUCCCCGAGCUUAACUUGGGAAUUGCAUUCGAUACUGGUUAGCUAGAGUGUGGGAGAGGAUGGUAGAAUUCCAGGUGUAGCGGUGAAAUGCGUAGAGAUCUGGAGGAAUACCGAUGGCGAAGGCAGCCAUCUGGCCUAACACUGACGCUGGGGUGCGAAAGCAUGGGGAGCAAACAGG